GUUUUAAUAAUUUAACUAAAAUAUUGGUCUUGUAAACCAAAAAUAAGGAAUUUACCUUUUAGAACU
rnacentral:tRNA from 1 species